CUUUAGUUUGAAACCCCGAAACCAGGUGAGCUACCCCGAGACAGCCUAUUAAAAUAGGGCUAACCCGUCUCUGUGGCAAAAGAGUGGGAAGAGCUCCGGGUAGAAGUGACAGACCUACCGAACCUGGUGAUAGCUGGUUGCCUGAGAAAUGGAUAGAAGUUCAGCCUCGCACACCCCAAAUCAAAAAUCUUUACCCAAGAUAAUGGGAAAAGUACGAAAGUUAGUUAAAGGGGGUACAGCCCCUUUAACAAAGGAUACAACCUUAACAGGAGAAUAAAGAUCAAAAUACAGAAAACAUCCUGUUCUAGUGGGCCUAAAAGCAGCCACCUAAAUAGAAAGCGUUAAAGCUCAGACAGAAAAAAGUUUAUUAUACUGAUAACAAAUCUUAUUUCCCUAAUAAUAUCAGGCUAUCCUAUGCCCCCAUAGGAGAAAUUAUGCUAAAAUGAGUAACAAGAAGACUUGCUCUUCUCCUAGCACAAGUGUAACCCAGAUCGGACAAACCACUGGAAACUAACGAACCCAAUUAACAGAGGGUAGUGUAGACAACAAAAAAACCAAGAAGAGCCUACAACUCAAACAUCGUUAACCCCACACUGGAGUGCUAUAUUAUAGGAAAGACUAAAAGAAAGGGAAGGAACUCGGCAAACACAAGCCUCGCCUGUUUACCAAAAACAUCGCCUCCUGCAACUAUAUUAAGUAUAGGAGGUCCAGCCUGCCCAGUGACUUUGGGUUCAACGGCCGCGGUAUUUUGACCGUGCAAAGGUAGCGCAAUCACUUGUCUUUUAAAUAGAGACCUGUAUGAAUGGCCAAACGAGGGCUUAACUGUCUCCCCCUUCCAGUCAGUGAAAUUGAUCUAUCCGUGCAGAAGCGGGUAUAAAUAUACAAGACGAGAAGACCCUUUGGAGCUUAAGGUACAAAAUCCACCCAUGUUAAACAACUUAUUAAAAAGCAAGAACUUAAUGGAAAAUGGACACUUACCUUCGGUUGGGGCGACCGCGGAGGAAAAACCAGCCUCCGAGUGGAAUGGGCCAAACCCCUAAAACUAAGAGAAACAUCUCUAAGCCACAGAACAUCUGACCAAAAAUGAUCCGACACACAGUCGAUCAACGAACCAAGUUACCCUAGGGAUAACAGCGCAAUCCCCUCCCAGAGUCCAUAUCGACGAGGGGGUUUACGACCUCGAUGUUGGAUCAGGACAUCCUAAUGGUGCAGCCG
rnacentral:rRNA from 1 species